rnacentral:tRNA from 1 species
ACAGCUAUAGUUUAGAAAAAAUACAAAUUUGUGGCAUUUGUGAAGUGGACCCCACUAGUUGUC